GAUGAACGCUGGCGGCGUGCCUAAUACAUGCAAGUAGAACGCUGAAGGAGGAGCUUGCUCUUCUGGAUGAGUUGCGAACGGGUGAGUAACGCGUAGGUAACCUGCCUGGUAGCGGGGGAUAACUAUUGGAAACGAUAGCUAAUACCGCAUGACAACAGUUAUUGCAUGAUAACUGUUUAAAAGGGGCAACUGCUCCACUACCAGAUGGACCUGCGUUGUAUUAGCUAGUUGGUGAGGUAACGGCUCACCAAGGCGACGAUACAUAGCCGACCUGAGAGGGUGUUCGGCAACACUGGGACUGAGACGCGGCCCAGACUCCUACGGGAGGCAGCAGUAGGGAAGCUUCGGCAAUGGACGGAAGUCUGACCGAGCAACGCCGCGUGAGUGAAGAAGGUUUUCGGAUCGUAAAGCUCUGUUGUAAGAGAAGAACGAGUGUGAGAGUGGAAAGUUCACACUGUGACGGUAUCUUACCAGAAAGGGACGGCUAACUACGUG
rnacentral:rRNA from 1 species